GUGAGACUGACAUGGGAUGAUAUUCACCCUAGCAUCACUAUGUGCUGCUUUGCCACUUUUGGGAAAAGAGCAACAUUUCUUUCUGAAUCAGGUUUGAGAUCGCUAUGGGAUGCUGUUCGCAGUAUGGGAUGCUGUUCGCUCUGUGCUACUCUCCCCAUUUGUGAAAAGAAAGAAGACCUUGGGAGUGGAUUUCAAGCUACAGAAGCCCCCUGCAAACACCUAGUGCUCAGAGACCAUUUUGCAGAGGAUUGUUUCAUUGACCUAAUUGGAAGAGAAUCCAAGAUAGUAAAAAAGAAAGGGUUCCUUUUUAUUGAAAACCACCAUUGGGGGCUGGUGUUCUUUCACUGAGUGGAAUAAACAUUGCCAAU
rnacentral:lncRNA from 1 species